rnacentral:rRNA from 1 species
GACGAACGCUGGCGGCGUGCUUAACACAUGCAAGUCGAACGGAAAGGCCCUGCUUUUGUGGGGUGCUCGAGUGGCGAACGGGUGAGUAACACGUGAGUAACCUGCCCUUGACUUUGGGAUAACUUCAGGAAACUGGGGCUAAUACCGGAUAGGAGCUCCUGCUGCAUGGUGGGGGUUGGAAAGUUUCGGCGGUUGGGGAUGGACUCGCGGCUUAUCAGCUUGUUGGUGGGGUAGUGGCUUACCAAGGCUUUGACGGGUAGCCGGCCUGAGAGGGUGACCGGCCACAAUGGGACUGAGAUACGGCCCAGACUCCUACGGGAGGCAGCAGUGGGGAAUAUUGCACAAUGGGCGGAAGCCAGAUGCAGCAACGCCGCGUGCGGGAUGACGGCCUUCGGGUUGUAAACCGCUUUCGCCUGUGACGAAGCGUGAGUGACGGUAAUUGGUAAAGAAGCACCGGCUAACUACGUG